rnacentral:rRNA from 1 species
CUUAACACAUGCAAGUCGAACGGAAAGGCCCUGCUUUUGUGGGGUGCUCGAGUGGCGAACGGGAGAGUAACACGUGAGUAACCUGCCCUUGACUUUGGGAUAACUUCAGGAAACUGGGGCUAAUACCGGAUAGGAGCUCCUGCUGCAUGGUGGGGGUUGGAAAGUUUCGGCGGGUGGGGAUGGACUCGCGGCUUAUCAGCUUGUUGGUGGGGUAGUGGCUUACCAAGGAUUUGACGGGGAGCCGGCCUGAGAGGGUGACCGGCCACAUUGGGACUGAGAUACGGCCCACACUCCUACGGGAGGCAGCAGAAGGGGAAUAUUGCACAAUGGGCGGAAGCCUGAUGCAGCAACGCCGCGUGCGGGAUGACGGCCUUCGGGUUGUAAACCGCUUUCGCCUGUGACGAAGCGUGAGUGACGGCAAUGGGUAAAGAAGCACCGGCUAACUACCUGCCAGCAACCGCGGGGAUACGUACGGGGCGAGCGUUGUCCGGAUUUAUUGGGCGUAAAGGGCUUGUAGGAGGGUGAUCGCGUCCGAACUGUAAUCUUGGGGGUUAACCCUGAGCGUACUUCGAUUACGGGUUGACUUGAUGGAGGGUAGCGGAGAAUGGAUUACCUUGCGGAGGCGGUGGAAUGCGCAGAUAUCAGGAGGAACACCAGUGGCGAAGACGGUUAUCUGGGCCUUUCCUGACGCUGAGGAGCGAAAGCGUGGGGAGCGAGCAGGCUUAGAUACCCUGGUAGUGCACUCUGUAAACGGUGGGUACUAGGUGUGGGGUCCAUUACACGGGUUCCGUGCCGUAGAUAACGCUUUAAGUACCCCGCCUGGGGAGUACGGCCGCAAGGCUAAAACUCAAAGGAAUUGACGGGGCGCCGCACAAGCGGCGGAGCAUGCGGAUUAAUUUGAUGCAACGCGUAGAACCUUACCUGGGUUUGACAUGGAUCGGGAGUGUUCAGAGAUGGGUGUGCCUCUUUUGGGGUCGGUUCACAGGUGGUGCAUGGCUGUCGUCAGCUCGUGUCGUGAGAUGUUGGGUUAAGUCCCGCAACGAGCGCAACCCUUGUUCACUGUUGCCAGCACGUUAUGGUGGGGACUCAGUGGAGACCGCCGGGGUCAACUCGGAGGAAGGUGGGGAUGACGUCAAGUCAUCAUGCCCCUUAUGUCCAGGGCUUCACGCAUGCUACAAUGGCUGGUACAGAGAGUGGCGAGCCUGUGAGGGUGAGCGAAUCUCGGAAAACCGGUUUCAGUUCGGAUUGGGGUUUGCAACUUGACCUCAUGAAGUCGGAGUCGCUAGUAAUCGCAGAUCAGCAACGUUGCGGUGAAUACGUUCCCGGGGCUUGUACACACCGCCCGUCAAGUCAUGAAAGUUGGUAACACCCGAAGCCGGUGGCCUAACCGAAGUGGGGGAGCCGUCGAAGGUGGGACUG